rnacentral:rRNA from 1 species
AGAGUUUGAUCCUGGCUCAGAUUGAACGCUGGCGGCAGGCUUAACACAUGCAAGUCGAACGGUAGCAGGAGGAAGCUUGCUUUCUUGCUGACGAGUGGCGGACGGGUGAGUAAUGCUUGGGAAUCUGGCUUAUGGAGGGGGAUAACUACUGGAAACGGUAGCUAAUACCGCGUAAUACCGAGAGAUUAAAGGGUGGGACUUUCGGGCCACCUGCCAUAAGAUGAGCCCAAGUGGGAUUAGGUAGUUGGUGGGGUAAAGGCCUACCAAGCCUGCGAUCUCUAGCUGGUCUGAGAGGAUGGCCAGCCACACUGGAACUGAGACACGGUCCAGACUCCUACGGGAGGCAGCAGUGGGGAAUAUUGCACAAUGGGGGGAACCCUGAUGCAGCCAUGCCGCGUGAAUGAAGAAGGCCUUCGGGUUGUAAAGUUCUUUCGGUGAUGAGGAAGGUGUUUUGUUUAAUAGACAAGGCAAUUGACGUUAGUCACAGAAGAAGCACCGGCUAACUCCGUGCCAGCAGCCGCGGUAAUACGGAGGGUGCGAGCGUUAAUCGGAAUAACUGGGCGUAAAGGGCACGCAGGCGGAUUGUUAAGUGAGAUGUGAAAGCCCCGAGCUUAACUAGGGAAUUGCAUUUCAGACUGGCAGUCUAGAGUAUUUUAGGGAGGGGUAGAAUUCCACGUGUAGCGGUGAAAUGCGUAGAGAUGUGGAGGAAUACCGAAGGCGAAGGCAGCCCCUUGGGAAUAUACUGACGCUCAUGUGCGAAAGCGUGGGGAGCAAACAGGAUUAGAUACCCUGGUAGUCCACGCUGUAAACGAUGUUGAUUUGGGGAUUGGGCUUUAAGCUUGGUGCCCGUAGCUAACGUGAUAAAUCAACCGCCUGGGGGAGUACGGCCGCAAGGUUAAAACUUAAAGGAAUUGACGG